rnacentral:lncRNA from 1 species
UUCUGCUGUCUUUAGGGUUUUGAUGUGAGGUGCUCCUUUCAGUCUCUCCUUAGCUGACAGCUGCAUUUCAUGGUCUCAUGUCUACUCCAGAAACAAAAGCGACCUUUUCAUCUCAACAACCAAGAGUGGAUGACUUCCCUGGAAGCACCUCCUGAUUCAUGAGCGUUCAUUUGUCCUGGCUUGCCUCUUGUCUCUCUGUCCCCCUGCAGGACAAGGUGCCUGGAGCUUGGGUCCAUCCCUCUGUGUGACCUUGGCUUUGUGAGUGCCAAAUCUGUGAGGAGAGGGUCUUCCUGAGCUGAACUUCCCAAGCUGCAUGGAGGAGAGCCCAGUGCAGCCUUUAUUUCCAGGCAGAGGGAGCUGUGACAUUCAACUCCAGAGCUCUUUCUCCUCUUUCCUGGUCCCUUGAGAGGCACUUGCACUUCAAGAGUCUUCUUUUGAGAAGGGGAAACUUCAUCAAAGGAAACCAUUUUGACAAAUGUGGACUGCACUGAAGGAGAUGACUAAAUAGAGGUUGGAAGCCUAAAUUUCACUCCCAUUUAGACUCUUUUCUCUUGGAAUAAAAACUAAAAGCCUAUUUUUGGUUUCA